rnacentral:rRNA from 1 species
AUUGAACGCUGGCGGCAGGCCUAACACAUGCAAGUCGAACGGUAACAGGAAGCAGCUUGCUGCUUCGCUGACGAGUAGCGGACGGGUGAGUAAUGUCUGGGAAGCUGCCUGAUGGAGGGGGAUAACUACUGGAAACGGUAGCUAAUACCGCAUAAUGUCGCAAGACCAAAGAGGGGGACCUUCGGGCCUCUUGCCAUCGGAUGUGCCCAGAUGGGAUUAGCUUGUUGGUGGGGUAACGGCUCACCAAGGCGACGAUCCCUAGCUGGUCUGAGAGGAUGACCAGCCACACUGGAACUGAGACACGGUCCAGACUCCUACGGGAGGCAGCAGUGGGGAAUAUUGCACAAUGGGCGCAAGCCUGAUGCAGCCAUGCCGCGUGUAUGAAGAAGGCCUUCGGGUUGUAAAGUACUUUCAGCGGGGAGGAAGGGAGUAAAGUUAAUACCUUUGCUCAUUGACGUUACCCGCAGAAGAAGCACCGGCUAACUCCGUG